AUUGAACGCUGGCGGCAGGCCUAACACAUGCAAGUCGAGCGCGAAAGGUUUUUCGGACUGAGUAAAGCGGCGGACGGGUGAGUAAUGCAUGGGAAUCUGCCUGGUAGUGGGGGACAACGUUUCGAAAGAGACGCUAAUACCGCAUACGCCCUACGGGGGAAAGGGGGGGAUCUUCGGACCUCUCGCUAUCAGAUGAGCCCAUGUCAGAUUAGCUUGUUGGUGAGGUAAAGGCUCACCAAGGCGACGAUCUGUAACUGGUCUGAGAGGAUGAGCAGUCACACUGGAACUGAGACACGGUCCAGACUCCUACGGGAGGCAGCAGUGGGAAUAUUGGACAAUGGGGGCAACCCUGAUCCAGCCAUGCCGCGUGUGUGAAGAAGGCCUUAGGGUUGUAAAGCACUUUCAGUGGGGAGAAAGGGUAAUUUCGACCUAAUACGUGAGUUAAUUGAUGUUACCCACAGAAGAAGCACCGGACUAACUCCGUGCC
rnacentral:rRNA from 1 species